AUGAGCAAUUCAAGAGAAGUGGCGAGCAACCAUUGUCUCACAGAUCCAUGCUUAAUGUGGGAUCUCCCGUUCUUGGCAAAAGGAAGCUUGAGAAAUAGUUUGCUCAAUACAAGUCAAGAAGGGCCUACUGCGCCAAGGGCGAAGUUGGACGCAUACCUCGAGGAGGAAUACUUUGAUAAAUCUAGUGAAAUCUUUGAUAUAUUGGCAUGGUGGAAAGAAAAUGUUGAAAAAUACCGCGUGCUCUCGGCGAUGGCACGUAAUUUACUUGAUGUGCCUCUUAUUAUCGUAUCGUCCGAGUCAGUAUUCAGUAGCGGAGGAAGAUCUCUUGGAGACGCACAAACCUCCCUGAAACCAAAAAUGUUGUCCAAGCUCGACAGUAUGAGGGUCAAAAUUCAUACUUGGAAUGAGAUGCGGUUUUGA
rnacentral:rRNA from 1 species